rnacentral:rRNA from 1 species
UAAUAUAUCGGAACGUGCCCAGUCGUGGGGGAUAACGUAGGGAAAUUUACGCUAAUACCGCAUACGAUCUAAGGAUGAAAGCGGGGGACUUCGCAAGAGGCCUCGCGCGAUUGGAGCGGCUGAUAUCAGAUUAGGUUGUUGGUGAGGUAAAAGCUCACCAAGCCGACGAUCUGUAGCUGGUUUGAGAGAACGACCAGCCACACUGGGACUGAGACACGGCCCAG